UACGAAGGGGGCUAGCGUUGCUCGGAAUCACUGGGCGUAAAGGGUGCGUAGGCGGGUCUUUAAGUCAGGGGGGAAAUCCUGGAGCUCAACUCCAGAACUGCCUUUGAUACUGAAGAUCUUGAGUCCGGGAGAGGUGAGUGGAACUGCGAGUGUAGAGGUGAAAUUCGUAGAUAUUCGCAAGAACACCAGUGGCGAAGGCGGCUCACUGGUCCGGUACUGACGCUGAGGUGCGAAAGCGUGGGGAGCAAACAGG
rnacentral:rRNA from 1 species